GAAGGCUUCGGGUGUUUACCUCUAGAAUGAAACUCAUGGUCGCCGAUGGAGCCGCCAUUGAAUAAAAUGAAGCGGGGUGAAGAAGAGAGAAAGAUCACUGGAGAGAUGUGACCAGGAGGCAAAGGGGCGUUGGGAUGUGAUGGAAGAUGAUUCACCAGGGAAAGGAGAGUUACUGAGCUUGUGGAGAAGAAGCGGCAGAGAAUGCUGGUAUUUAAAGACAGUUCGAGAGAAGGGGUAAAGGUGGAAUUUUUUACCGCGCCGUCUACAUGAAUUUCGAAGGAGCGGUUGUCUCAGGCGCCCAGUUCAAAAAGAUUGCAAUCAUCAGGUAGAAGACUGCAAAAACCGAAAGGAGUUUUUGCCGCGCUUGUCUCGGAGAGAAAGUUAAAAAGAAUUUCGAAGUAAAAGUUAUGUUUUACUCCAAAACUGGGGGGCAUGUGUUGAUGCCGGAUUUUGACACGUGUUUUGAAUCGGCGUCAAGGGAGGAAAAGAUUGGCCGAUGCGGCAGGCUAAAAGCUACAAUAGGGAAUCGGCCGAUUGGCGCUACAGUGUUUCGGUCGAUUGGCGAACGGAGUUGAUGAAGGUC
rnacentral:lncRNA from 1 species